GACGUAGGAGGCGAGCGUUGUCCGGAUUCAUUGGGCGUAAAGAGCACGCAGGCGGUUUGGCAAGUCGGGUGUGAAAACCCGAAGCUCAACUUCGGGCCUGCAUCCGAAACUGCCCGACUAGAGGUAGGUAGGGGAGAUCGGAAUUCCUGGUGUAGCGGUGAAAUGCGCAGAUAUCAGGAGGAACACCGGUGGCGAAGGCGGAUCUCUGGGCCUUACCUGACGCUCAGGUGCGAAAGCUAGGGGAGCGAACAGG
rnacentral:rRNA from 1 species